GUACUCGGCUUGGAUUCUAACCCAGCACUCUUGUAUGAUAGACGAGCGCUUUACCAACUAACCUACCGAGCC
rnacentral:tRNA from 1 species